rnacentral:rRNA from 3 species
UUUUGACCUCGGAUCAGGUAGGGAUACCCGCUGAACUUAAGCAUAUCAAUAAGCGGA